rnacentral:rRNA from 1 species
UACAGAGGGUGCGAGCGUUAAUCGGAGUUACUGGGCGUAAAGGGCGCGUAGGCGGUUAUAUAAGUGAGAUGUGAAAUCCCUGGGCUUAACCUAGGAACUGCAUCUCAUACUGUAUGACUGGAGUAUUGUAGAGGGUAGUGGAAUUUCCGGUGUAGCGGUGAAAUGCGUAGAUAUCGGGAGGAACACCUGUGGCGAAAGCGGCUCACUGGACCAUAACUGACGCUGAUGCACGAAAGCUGGGGGAGCAAACAGG